AGAAAUUAAUUAAAAAUAUAUUAUUUAAGAAUUAAUACACAUUAAAAUCCACUAAUUACAUCUGAUGAGGAAGAAGCAACAACUACACAGAAAACUAUAUAAAAAAAUAUGAAAAGUCAUUGUAAUUAGCAUAAUAUACGCUAAAUGGAGAAAGGGGUCUCCUUAAAGAUUUAAAUUAAUUGUUCCAAUGUGGGUUUUAACUCUGCAUGUACUUAGUGAGGUUUUUAAAGUCAUUUAAUAAAUAGGUUCUGAAUUAAAAAAAUUUAAAAGAAAUCUCAAAAAAUGAAAAAAAAACAUAAAAAAGUGAGAAAAGAUAAAUAGGAAUGAAGGCCGUAGAGACACUACUGGAAAUAGGGGCUAUGACAACGGUUAUAUUACCAUCUCCAUAGAUGCAAAACCCGUCCCUGUAUAUCUAUGGCGACUGUUAGUCCAGCCGCACCACUGAUCGCGUUACAGUAGCUCUAUUGUAACAGUUGUUUGCGACGGUUGCCUAAAUCGUCACCAUGCACAUACUUAUCACGAAGAUUCUCGCUACAAAAAUACUGCAAUGGUUUUGUACUGUAGCAACGACUACUACCCAUUCCUAUAAGACUUUAUACGAUGGUUAUAUAAUUCUAUUGCAAUGUUUGUUUUCUACAUUGGUAGGACAUAUUGUGACGGUUGAAGGUAUUUUGUGACGGUUACCAAACCGUCCCUGUAAAAUGUUAAAAAAACGGUUAUAUAUUGAUAACGCAAUGUGUUUACCAUUACAUAAUAGCUAAGGCGACGGUUCUUAAGAUGGUGAUGUGACGGUUAUCUGUACACUAUUACAACACUUAUUUUUAGGCUAUUGCCACGGUUAUUAUAGGUUAUGGCAACACUUAUUUUAAGGCUAAUGCGACGGUUAUUAUCGGUUAUUGUAAUAGUUGUUCAAAAGCAA
rnacentral:lncRNA from 1 species